GGGUGAUUAGCUCAGUUGGUAGAGCAUCUCCUUUACACGGAUGGGGUCGGCGGUUAGAGCCCGUCAUCGCCCACCA
rnacentral:tRNA from 2 species